CAUUUUUGGUUUUUUUUUUUUUUUUGUGGUUUUUUUUAGUGAAGGUUGAAAGAAAACGGUUGGUUAGUUAGUUAAGUUGAAGUAGGAAGUGAUUUGUGUGACUCAUUCUCUGCAAAAAUAUGAUGACUAUAGACUGUAGUAGUAGUAGUACUUGUACUGGUUUGAGAGAUUAAGAUUAAGAUGAGGGUAUAGAAAGAGAAGGUGUGUCAGAGAAAGUAGGGGAUAGUGAGAGUGAGUGUGUGAGUGAAUUUGUGAUUGUAGAGUACAAAUUAAGGUGUGACUUGCAUAGUAUAUUUAGGGUAUAUAUAUAAGCACAAAUGAAUAUUUCAUGUAUUUUAUUAGUACUUUUUCUGUUAGAUUAAAGGAAUGUUUAGGCACAUUCACAAUUUUGAUUUUUU
rnacentral:lncRNA from 1 species